UACGAAGGGGGCUAGCGUUGUUCGGAAUUACUGGGCGUAAAGCGCGCGCAGGCGGUCUUCCAAGUCAGUGGUGUAAGCCCGGAGCUCAACUCCGGAACUGCCAUUGAAACUGUAAGACUUGAGGAUGAGAGAGGUGAGUGGAAUUCCCAGUGUAGAGGUGAAAUUCGUAGAUAUUGGGAAGAACACCGGUGGCGAAGGCGGCUCACUGGCUCAUUACUGACGCUCAGGCGCGACAGCGUGGGGAUCAAACAGG
rnacentral:rRNA from 1 species